CCUACGGGUGGCAGCAGUGGGGAAUAUUGGGCAAUGGGCGCAAGCCUGACCCAGCCACGCCGCGUGAAGGAAGAAGGCCCUCGGGUUGUAAAAUUCUUUUAUCAAGGACGAAACAAAUGACGGUACUUGAUGAAUAAGCCACGGCUAACUCAGUGCCAGCAGCCGCGGUUAUCCGUAGGUGGCAAGCGUUAUCCGGAUUCACUGGGUGUAAAGGGAGAGUAGGCGGGACUGCAAGUCAGAUGUGAAAACCAUGGGCUCAACCCCUGGCCUGCAUUUGAAACUGUAGUUCUUGAGUGUUGGAGAGGCAUGCGGAAUGCCGUGUGUAGCGGUGAAAUGCAUAGAUAUCGCGCAGAACCCCGAUUGCGAAGGCAGCAUACCGGUUCAAAACUGACGCUCAGGCACGAAAGCGUGGGUAUCGAACAGGAGUAGAUACCCGAGUAGUC
rnacentral:rRNA from 1 species